rnacentral:rRNA from 1 species
UUUUUAUUGACUUUUUAAUAAGUAACAUUUGCUCCKUGAAAAUUUAAAUAGCCGCGGAAAUUUAACCGUGCUMAGGUAGCAUAAUCMUUAGCCCUAUAAUUAAGGGCUCGUAUGAACGAUGAAACAUUUCACUAUCUUUUUUAAAUUUUUUUAUUUAACUUAAACUAAGAAUCAAAAUGUUCUUAUAAUUAUAAAAGRCGGCAAGACCCUACUGAACUUUACUUAAGUUUUACUGGGGAAGUAUAAAAAUAAUUAUCUUUUUAAUUUUUUUUUUUUUUAAUAAAKGACCCAAUACAUUUGAUUAUAUGCACAAGUUACCAUAGGGAUAACAGCGUAAUUAUUUUUUAAAGCUCUUAUUUAAAAACUAGAUKGCGACCYCGAUGUUGAAUUAAGGAUACUUUAUCMCGCAAUAGUAAUAAAUAGGGGGUCUGUUCGACCCUUAAAUCAUUACAK